rnacentral:tRNA from 7 species
GCCGGAAUAGCUCAGUUGGUAGAGCAAAGGACUGAAAAUC